rnacentral:misc_RNA from 1 species
GAUGAAGAACGCAGCGAAAUGCGAUACGUAAUGUGAAUUACAGAAUUCAGUGAAUCAUCGAGUCUUUGAACGCACAUUGCGCCCCCUGGUAUUCCGGGGGGCAUGCCUGUCCGAGCGUCAUUGCUGCCCUCAAGCACGGCUUGUGUGUUGGGCCUCCGUCCUCCUCCCGGGGGACGGGCCCGAAAGGCAGCGGCGGCACCGCGUCCGGUCCUCGAGCGUAUGGGGCUUCGUCACCCGCUCUUGUAGGCCCGGCCGGCGCUUGCCGACACAUCAAUCUUUUUUCCAGGUUGACCUCGGAUCAGGUAGGGAUACCCGCUGAACUUAAGCAUAUCAAUAAGCGGAGGA